ACGAACGCUGGCGGCGUGCCUAACACAUGCAAGUCGAGCGAGAUGAUCCCUUCGGGGAUGAACCUAGCGGCGGACGGGUGAGUAACACGUGGGCAACCUGCCUUAUAGAGGGGAAUAGCCUCCCGAAAGGGAGAUUAAUACCGCAUAACAUUGAAGUUUCGCAUGAAGCUUCAAUCAAAGGAGUAAUCCGCUAUAAGAUGGGCCCGCGGCGCAUUAGCUAGUUGGUGAGGUAACGGCUCACCAAGGCGACGAUGCGUAGCCGACCUGAGAGGGUGAUCGGCCACAUUGGGACUGAGACACGGCCCAGACUCCUACGGGAGGCAGCAGUGGGGAAUAUUGCACAAUGGGGGAAACCCUGAUGCAAGCAACGCCGCGUGAGUGAUGAAGGUUUUCGGAUCGUAAAGCUCUGUCUUCAGGGACGAUAAUGACGGUACCUGAGGAGGAAGCCACGGCUAACUACGUGCCAGCAGCAGC
rnacentral:rRNA from 1 species